rnacentral:rRNA from 2 species
UCGACGAACUCUGGUAUUGAUUGGUGCUUGCAUCAUGAUUUACAUUUGAGUGAGUGGCGAACUGGUGAGUAACACGUGGGAAACCUGCCCAGAAGCGGGGGAUAACACCUGGAAACAGAUGCUAAUACCGCAUAACAACUUGGACCGCAUGGUCCGAGUUUGAAAGAUGGCUUCGGCUAUCACUUUUGGAUGGUCCCGCGGCGUAUUAGCUAGAUGGUGGGGUAACGGCUCACCAUGGCAAUGAUACGUAGCCGACCUGAGAGGGUAAUCGGCCACAUUGGGACUGAGACACGGCCCAAACUCCUACGGGAGGCAGCAGUAGGGAAUCUUCCACAAUGGACGAAAGUCUGAUGGAGCAACGCCGCGUGAGUGAAGAAGGGUUUCGGCUCGUAAAACUCUGUUGUUAAAGAAGAACAUAUCUGAGAGUAACUGUUCAGGUAUUGACGGUAUUUAACCAGAAAGCCACGGCUAACUACGUGCCAGCAGCCGCGGUAAUACGUAGGUGGCAAGCGUUGUCCGGAUUUAUUGGGCGUAAAGCGAGCGCAGGCGGUUUUUUAAGUCUGAUGUGAAAGCCUUCGGCUCA